GACGGAGGAUGCAAGCGUUAUCCGGAAUGAUUGGGCGUAAAGCGUCCGCAGGUGGCAGUUCAAGUCUGCUGUCAAAGACCGGGGCUUAACUUCGGAAAGGCAGUGGAAACUGAACAGCUAGAGUAUGGUAGGGGCAGAGGGAAUUCCUGGUGUAGCGGUGAAAUGCGUAGAGAUCAGGAGGAACACCGGUGGCGAAGGCGGUUCUCUGGGCAUGUCCUGACGCUGAGGAGCGAAAGUGUGGGGAGCGAACAGG
rnacentral:rRNA from 1 species